AACGCACCUUGCGCUCCUUGGUAUUCCGAGGAGCAUGCCUGUUUGAGUGUCAUGAAAUUCUCAACCCAUAAAUCCUUGUGGAAGUAUGGGCUUGGAUUCGGAGGUUUGCUGGGUCCCCUGGGGUCCGGCUCCUCUCGAACGCAUUAGCUUGAUUCCGUGCGGAUCGGCUCUCAGUGUGAUAAUUAUCUACGCUGUGACCGUGAAGCGUUUGGCGAGCUUCCAACCGUCUUUUUUGGACAACCUUAUGACAUCUGACCUCAAAUCAGGUAGGACUACCCGCUGAACUUAA
rnacentral:misc_RNA from 1 species